rnacentral:rRNA from 1 species
CCCUUAGAUGUUCUGGGCUGCACACGUGCUACACUGGCAGGUUCAGCGAGCUUCAUGCCCUGAUCUGAAAGGAAUGGGAAAUCUUUUCAAAACCUGCCGUGCUUGGGAUAGAUGUUUGCAAUUAUUCAUCUUCAACGAGGAUUGCCUUUUAAGCGCACGUCAUCAGCGUGCAUUGAAUACGACCCUGUAUUCUGUACACACCGCCCGUCGCUCCUACCGAUUGAAGUUUUCGGUGAGUUGACAGGAGGAUUUUUUUGAAACUGGUUCGCCAGUGGAUUUUAGAUCCAAAUGCCAACGAAUCGAUGGCUUUAGAGGAAGGAGAAGUCGUAACA